rnacentral:rRNA from 1 species
UACAGCGGGUGCAAGCGUUAAUCGGAAUUAAUGGGCGUAAAGCGUGCGUAGGUGGUUUGUUAAGUCAGGCGUGAAAUCCCUGGGCUCAACCUGGGAACUGCGUUUGAUACUGGCAGACUCGAGUGUGGUAGAGGGUAGUGGAAUUCCGCAUGUAGCAGUGAAAUGCGUAGAUAUGCGGAGGAACACCAGUGGCGAAGGCGGCUACCUGGACCAACACUGACACUGAGGCACGAAAGCGUGGGGAGCAAACUGG